rnacentral:lncRNA from 1 species
ACUGCACGGAGAGUUGUGAUUUGUGAAGCAAAGAUGAACACUUUUACACCAAGCACAUUCAUGCUGUGAUUAUGUUCCUAUUGAGAAGCAUUUAACAAUUUCACGCUGUUUAGGUUCAUGUUGUUUAGGUUCACGCUGUUUAGGUUCACACUGUUUAGGUUCACGCUGUUUAGGUUCACACUGUUUAGGUUCACGCUGUUUAGGUUCACACUGUUUAGGUUCACGCUGUUUAGGUUCACGUUGUGUAGGUUAGGUUGUUUGUUUCACUCUGUGUAGGUUCACACUGUUUAGGUUCACACUGUUUAGGUUCAUGUUGUUUAGGUUCAUGUUGUUUAGGUUCACACUGUUUAGGUUCACACUGUUUAGGUUCAUGUUGUUUAGGUUCACUCUGUUUAGGUUCACACUGUUUAGGUUCAUGUUGUUUAGGUUCAUGUUGUUUAGGUUCACACUGUUUAGGUUCAUGUUGUUUAGGUUCACUCUGUUUAGGUUCACUCUGUUUAGGUUCCUCUGUUUAGGUUCACGCUGUUUUAGGUUCACGCUGUUUAGGUUCACACUGUUUAGUUCACACGUGGUUAAGUUCACACUGUUUAGGUUCAUGUUGUUUAGGUUCACUCUGUUUAGGUUCACACGUGUUUAGGUUCAUGUGUUUAGGUUCACUCUGUUUAGGUUCACGCUUUAGGUUCACGCUGUUUAG